GCGAAGAUGGGGGAAGCAGGCGGAGGAAUAAGAAGGUGGGUAGUGUGGUGCGGAGUUAAUGGGGGUAAUGCGCAGGUAGGGGGAAUUUUAAGGCAGUGGUGAAAUCCCGGGGCUCAACGCCGGAACUGCCUUGGAUAAUGGAAGGCUUGAGUAUGGAAGAGGUGAGUGGAAGUCCGAGUGUAGAGGUGAAAUUCGUAGAUAUUCGGAGGAACACCAGUGGCGAAGGCGGCUCACUGGUCCAUUACUGACGCUGAGGUGCGAAAGCGUGGGGAGCAAACAGGAUUAGAUACCCGUGUAGUC
rnacentral:rRNA from 1 species